AUUGAACGCUGGCGGCAGGCCUAACACAUGCAAGUCGAGCGGAUGAAGGGAGCUUGCUCCUGGAUUCAGCGGCGGACGGGUGAGUAAUGCCUAGGAAUCUGCCUGGUAGUGGGGGAUAACGUCCGGAAACGGGCGCUAAUACCGCAUACGUCCUGAGGGAGAAAGUGGGGGAUCUUCGGACCUCACGCUAUCAGAUGAGCCUAGGUCGGAUUAGCUAGUUGGUGGGGUAAAGGCCUACCAAGGCGACGAUCCGUAACUGGUCUGAGAGGAUGAUCAGUCACACUGGAACUGAGACACGGUCCAGGCUCCUACGGGAGGCAGCAGUGGGGAAUAUUGGACAAUGGGCGAAAGCCUGAUCCAGCCAUGCCGCGUGUGUGAAGAAGGUCUUCGGAUUGUAAAGCACUUUAAGUUGGGAGGAAGGGCAGUGAGUUAAUACCUUGCUGUUUUGACGUUACCAACAGAAUAAGCACCGGCUAACUUCGUG
rnacentral:rRNA from 1 species